AGGUGACCUCGUCAAAGACAUUCUUUUACUUUUGGGACUUGCAGCUUGAGAAGUAUGAAUGUUCUCUCUUAUCUCGCUUCCUGGCGAUUAUGUCCAGAGAUUACAACUGCUUCCUCGGCAAACCACGGUCCUCACUUGCUCCCUGAAGGUAUCGCGACAGAUAGUCUGGUUUUUCCCAGUGUAUGAGGUUGUCUACUUUUCCUGCUAAAUGAUGGUCAAAGGCGAUGGAUCUGUCCAGCAGCAUCGGAUUUACUUUAAUAUUUGUUGUAUAGACUUUAUGUUCACGUGUUCCACGAGUUAUGGCUUAUUUCAAUCCUCGAUGAUAACUACUCGUUUUAUUUCACAAGUUAUUUCUAUAUUCAGAAAUAAUAAAAUUUGACGAUUGGCAGAGAUUUAAUUAAAAACGUGGAAACAAAA